rnacentral:rRNA from 1 species
CCCUUAGAUGUUCUGGGCUGCACGCGUGCUACACUGAUAUUGCCAAUAUGUCAUUCUUAUCCGAAAUGGAUUGGGUAAUCAAGUAAUGAAAUUUCAUGCUUGGAAUCGGUAAUUGCAAUUUUAUCGUGAACGAGGAAUUCCUAGUAAGCACUAGUCAUCAGCUAAUGUUGAUUAUGUCCCUGCCCUUUGUACACACCGCCCGUCGCUCCUACCGAUUGAAUGCUCAGGUGAGCCAUUCGGACUUUCAUCAUGCUGGUUUCCAGUUUUGAUGAAGGAAAGUCUUGCGAACCUUAUCAUUUAGAGGAAGGAGAAGUCGUAACA